GGUAGUGUGGCCGAGCGGUCUAAGGCGCUGGAUUUAGGCUCCAGUCUCUCUGGAAGCGUGGGUUCGAAUCCCGCCGCUGCUA
rnacentral:tRNA from 1 species